rnacentral:tRNA from 1 species
UGGGGAGUAGGCGACGUUGGCAAAGCCACCUGAUUUUGACUCAGGAAAUCUCGCGGGUUCAAUUCCUGCCUCCCCAG